AUUCAGGAGUGAAGCUGCUGAGAGAUCUUCUGGAGAGUCCAGACUGCAGACUGGAGACUCUCUGGAUCAGAUAUUAUGAGACGAUCAGAGCCAAGAUCCAGAAGACCUCUCCAGUUUCCUUCUCACCUGAACACACAUCUGAAUCUUCAUAGAGGUCCAGGAAACAUUGGGAAAUGUUCCAAAGAAAGGUGGCCUUUUCCAAACAGAGAGCAGCGAACGCAUCACUGGACAACAGAGAACCUGAGACUCUGAUCCACCGUGCAGGAACCCUUCUCCGUGCCCAUCUCAACAAGUGCCCAUCUCAACAAGUGCCCAUCUCAACAAGUGCCCAUCUCAACAAGUGCCCAUCUCAACAAGUGCCCAUCUCAACAAGUGUCCUCAGGCAGAUUACACUACACUUCUACACAUUCACUUUUAUCCAAAGCCACUUGCAUACAUACUCCAUACUGCGGACAAUCGACAUGCUGACUGCAGUGGGGAUUGAACCAGUGCUCUCCUGAUCUGAAGACCAGCACACUAACCCACUGAGCCACAGCCUCAUAAUCCUGCGUGUGGAUGGGAUUCUGUUCUGCCUGUAAUCAAAGCACUAAGGUUCUCUUGGAAACGCUAACAAUCAGAUAAAGAUCAGAUAAAGGCCAAGAAGAAGAUGGUGAAAAUAUUUGUACACUCUUGAACUUCUUUGUGUUUUUCAUCGCGGGUUGAUUAAUGUCCAAUCAAAUGUUUCCUUUGAUUUAUAACACUUGUAAAAGGAGCUCUGCUGGUAUCAGUGAAACUGUGGUAAUAAGGUUUAGGAGCAUGAAGUCUUUAUGAGAUGUGAUCAGAUAUUGUCGUAACCUUUAAGAUGUGUUGUGAUGACUUUAAAAUGAAAUGCAUGUGUAGCUGCAGAGAGUGGACUCAGGUUACUGACGGGGUCUGUGUGCAGAGGAAGAACUGACCCUGGGUCAGCAGAGGCUCUGCAGUGGACAUGCUUCAGAUGCUGAUGUGGAGACGCCUCGUACAGUGUGGAGUCUAUUUUUAUAUAACAUUACAAGACUGAUUCUUAUUAUUACAUUAUUUGCUUAUUGUGCUCAUUUAUGUGCUGUGACUUAGGAAUAAAUAGACCCAAUCACCCCCCCCAAGUUUUGAUGAGGAGGACAGGAACGAAGGGAAAAGUUACAUGAGAAAGUGUUUAGCUUGCAAUAAUGAAAGUAUCAAGGUGGAGACUGAGAGAACAGAGAGGUAGUCAGAACAGCACAUCGCACCGGCCUUGAGUCUGUAUGGGAGCCGCGCUCCCCCGCAGAGCUAGGAAGCAACAUUAUGGUUUCCCGCUAUAUCUGAAGAAACGUUAGAGAAAACAAAUUAGUAUGAUGGUGCCAGAGUAGGGAGGGACUUCCACAGGCCGGCCGAAUGCUGAUUGGAGAAUCGUGUUGCCAAGAGACCCUAUCUGAGUCUGUGCACCAACCAAAGAGAACCAAGUCUAAACCAUGGUAUCUCUUCAGCUAGUCUUGACCAAUCAUGAAUGUACGGCAACGUCCUGUGUAAUAAAAUGUAUUGUUGCACGAGGUUCUUGACCGGAAAUAGACUGACAGAUUAUAGCUUUGCUGCCUGUGUUUUCUAGGACGUGACGGAGUCCUUGGCCAAGUGAUAU